rnacentral:rRNA from 1 species
AGAGUUUGAUCCUGGCUCAGAAUCAACGCUGGCGGCGUGCCUAACACAUGCAAGUCGAACGCGAAAGUCCCGCAAGGGAUUAGUAGAGUGGCAAACGGGUGAGUAACACGUGGGUGACCUGCCUUCGAGUGGGGGAUAACGUCCCGAAAGGGACGCUAAUACCGCAUGACAUCCUGCUUUUUAACAGGCGGAGAUCAAAGCCGGGGAUCGCAAGACCUGGCGCUUGGAGAGGGGCCCGCGUCCGAUUAGCUAGUUGGUGAGGUAACGGCUCACCAAGGCGACGAUCGGUAUCCGGCCUGAGAGGGCGGACGGACACACUGGGACUGAGACACGGCCCAGACUCCUACGGGAGGCAGCAGUGGGGAAUUGUUCGCAAUGGGCGCAAGCCUGACGACGCAACGCCGCGUGGAGGAUGAAGACCUUCGGGUCGUAAACUCCUUUCGAUCGAGACGAACGGCUUCCGGGUGAACAAUCCGGAAGAGUGACGGUACCGAGAGAAGAAGCCCCGGCUAACUCCGUGCCAGCAGCCGCGGUAAUACGGGGGGGGCAAGCGUUGUUCGGAAUUACUGGGCGUAAAGGGCUCGUAGGCGGCCAACUAAGUCAGACGUGAAAUCCCUCGGCUUAACCGGGGAACUGCGUCUGAUACUGGAUGGCUUGAGGUUGGGAGAGGGAUGCGGAAUUCCAGGUGUAGCGGUGAAAUGCGUAGAUAUCUGGAGGAACACCGGUGGCGAAGGCGGCAUCCUGGACCAAUUCUGACGCUGAGGAGCGAAAGCCAGGGGAGCAAACGGGAUUAGAUACCCCAGUAGUCC